CCCUACGGGGGGCAGCAGUGAGGAAUAUUGGUCAAUGGUCGGGAGACUGAACCAGCCAAGCCGCGUGAGGGAUGAAGGUACAGAGUAUCGUAAACCUCUUUUGUCAGGAAACAAAGGCGGGGACGUGUCCCCGGAUGAGUGUACCUGAAGAAAAGGCAUCGGCUAACUCCGUGCCAGCAGCCGCGGUAAUACGGAGGAUGCGAGCGUUAUCCGGAUUUAUUGGGUUUAAAGGGUGCGCAGGCGGUCUGUUAAGUCAGCGGUCAAAGCCCGGGGCUCAACCCCGGCCCGCCGUUGAAACUGGCGGG
rnacentral:rRNA from 1 species